UAGUGGUGAUGUGGCCAGCUUAUCAAUAAAGAUUUGAACCUAUCCCAAGCUUGGUAUAGAUUCUCUCCUCUUUUCUAUUUGAAGCUUAAAAUUUCACUUUGUAACUA